rnacentral:lncRNA from 1 species
CCCGCACAGCUGGCACCGCAUGGUGUCCUGGGUAGCUGAAACUGUGGAAAGCAAAACCGUGGAUAAGGGGGAACUACUAUACUGAAAAUGUACAAAACAGAGAAGAUUUCAUUGAAGAAGUCUGCUGUUUCUGGAAUGGGAAAUUAAGCACAACUGGAACAGUUAUCGACUGUGAUUCUUGCUGGGACCAAUAACCUUCUACAAAUACCAACAUCAGUUUUUAUGAAAGGCAAAGAGCUGACAGGUUUACAGACUGCACCCUAACAUUAAGCUACCAGGAGAAACUUCCAAGUUACCCUCUUGUUACUUGUGCCCCAGAGGUGAACACUAUAAACUGCUACAGCAUGCAAUUUAGGGAGAGGUUCGUGAAGAAGUGAUUGGGAAAGAGAGCAAGUCUUGGUUGGACAGUGUGAUUCAAUAGAAAUGUGAGGAGGAAAACUGCAAUUAUUUCUGAACCUUCCCAUCAGCCUUGUCUCUGAUAGAAUUGGCCUGUUGUGGACGGGCUUUGUGUAGAUUAGAGAAAGAAGAAGAUGCUCUUUUGGUGUAAUUGUUCAGUUCCACAUGGCCGGGGAGGCCUCACGAUCAUGGCAGAAGGCAAGGAGGAGCAAGUCACAUCUUAUGUGGAUGGCAGCAGGCAAAGAGAGAGCGAGCUUGUGCAAGGAGACUCCCAUUUUUAAAACCAUCAGAUCUCGUGAGACUUAUUCACUAUCAGGAGAACAGCAAGCUAAAUCAGUGUGAGACCAAGGACCCUGGGGCUCCUCCAGUCAUUGCAGCUGUAUCACAACUACCCUGACAGAGGCUUUACAAAUAGCUACUUUUAUAUCAAACUACAUGCAACUAGUUUUCUGUGCUGGACUUCCAUAGUUGUGAAGCCAUGAUUACCAGAAUUUCUGAUUCAAAGAUUCUUGGUGAGUUUCGCUCCUUGGAGUCUUUUAUCUCCUUUCUCUUGAUUUCUCUUUGCCCUGAUCUUUACUCUGAAAUUCUACUCAUUUGAAAUGCCACUUCUCCUAGGUAUUGUGUCUUGUUCUUCCCCAAGUGUACAGCAGCUUACCAUCAUUAUAUGAACCCCCUUAUACUUUUUUGAGCUCUUACUGAACUUCUCUUGAUUUAUAUAUUUUGGUAUAUUUGGUCUUUUAGAUUGAGCUCUUGGGAUCUUAAUGUCUUAUCAAUCCUAUGUCAGUAUCUGUUUUGAGCUCAGUCUAAUAAAGAUGACAUAAUAGGUAUAUUGAAUUGUGUACCUAUACACAUGGAAAAAACAUCCCCUUUCCAUAUGCCCUGUUCUGCCUCUGAGAAGCAACAGAGGGAAUAAAUUGCCCCUACAUUUGUAUGCUUCUUAGUGUGAUAGCCAGCCUCCAAGGCACUCCCAAUGAUCCCCACCUCCUAGAAUUCACACCCUUGUGAAGUCACCUCCUAUAUCAUACCAGCGUCGGUCUGUGGGAUCAAAUAAUAUGGUGAAAGUGAUGGUAUGUUACUUCUGAGAUGAGGUUGUAAAAGAAUGCUAGCUACUGACACCUUGACCUCUCUUUCUCAGAUUUCUUGCUCAGGGCAAGCCACCUGCCAUGUCUUGAGAACACUCAAGCAGCACAUGGCGAGGAAUGGAGAUGGACAGACAUGGGCCAGCAAGAAACAGGCUUGCCAACAACAGCUUGCGUGAUCCUGAAAGUGGGUCCUCUAGCCCCAUGUGACUGUUGCCCUGGCCAACAACUUAACUGCAACCUCAAGAGAUACCUACCCUGAGUCAGAACCACCCAGUCAAACUACCCCUGGCAUCUUAACUCAGAACAGGCCCCGUUGACUGGAGGAUGGCCAUUUGACAACACAUUAUUUCCUGAGGAAACUUUUGACUUCUGGUGACUUGGGCCCCAGGCUGGCUGAAUUUGCCAAGACCCGGCUUUGCCCUUGCAUGUGUGAAAAAUGGCCUCAAGUAUGACCCCAUGGCAAGAUGGAAAGAAACUGUGCUCUUGAAUAGCUUAGAGAUUCAGAGCCCCCCAACCAGCUUGAAACGCCCACCUCAAAACAAUGACAUGAGAAGAAACAAACCUCUAAUUUAAGCCACUGUCUUUUUAAGAGCAUUGUAGUUUGAGAUCUCUUUCUUUCAGCUGUUUAGUCCCCAGCUAAACACUUACUGACCUUAUCUUACAGGUCAAGAAAAAUGAAGUUCUGGGGUACAAGUCACUAAUGUAUUAGAAAUUUUCCAGCUCUCCCUCCUUGCCCAGCAGAGUAUAUUUCCACUCAAACACAAUGAACCCAUUUGGAAUGGGACAAAACAAAAUGGGGUGGGCCUGGAACAAGAGAAAGUUCAGCUACACAGGAUCCAGGUCAAAACUCUUUAAUCCUCCCAUUUCUGGAUUUCAAAUGAACACCUUUUUGUCUAGCAGUUCUCCUCCAGAGGUUUGCUUUCCCACAACAGCUUGUCAACAGUGUAAGAAGUUCAAAAAGAACUUUUGGGGUUGCACGUUGCAGGUUGUGUGGCAUCAUCCCAGCUUGUCUCAACACCUCUGAUGAACAGUAGCGGAAGAAAGGACUCUUUCCACAUGAGUUCCUCGGCGGUCCCCGUCUCUUAGGGAGUUUAUAAAAAAAUCCAUCAUCUUGUUCUACUAAACCCAAGUAAAUAUAAUUAACACCAAAUGUGUGUUCUGCUCAUCAAAUUGUACAGCCAUAAAGAGAUAAUCUUUGUAAAAUAAAUGACUAGGCUUCCUUGAUAAGUCAAUAAGGCAAAAACCUUGGGAGUAAAUUAAGACAAAUGGGAAACCAGCUGGAAGAAAUCAAACAGGCAAAGCAGGUGGGGUGGCUUGUGUUUGGGAAGAUAAAACACAGCAUGAAGCAUUUGCACAUUUACACAAAAGCAAGAUCUAUAACCUUAUGCUUUGAACUGAGCUAAAUGCAUGACUUAUUUAAGAAGAGCUGGUAGCUGGGAACUGGUUGAACUAAGAGUGUCAAGACCAAUUCUGAUGAUGUUUUCUUGUACUUUGCCUGUUUUUACAUGCUCUGAAGAUUGCCAAACAACCAGCAGCAGAUGGUCCUGUAUCUAAGUGCAAUGCUAAGUGGUGUGAGGGAUGGCAUGAUUGACCAUUUACUCAGAGGAGCAUAAAAGAAGGAAUUCUUGUUAAAAAUGCCUCUGUUGUAUCAAGUGGCUGUAAAACAGGCAAGAGAUAUGGGGUCCCACUGUGUUGCCCAGGCUUGCCUCAAACUCCUGGACUCAAGCAAUCCUUCUGCCUUGGCCUCCCAAAGUGCUGUGACUAUAGCCUACUCAACAUGAAGAUGAAGAGCAUGAAGACCUUUAUGAUGAUCCACUUCCAUUUAGUGAAUGGUAAAUAUAUUUUCUCC